GGGUGCGAUCAUACUGACGCUAAUGCACCGGAUCCCAUCAGAACUCCGAAGUUAAGUGUGCUUGGGCGAGAGUAGUAUUAGGAUGGGUGAGCUCCUGGGAAGUCCUCGUGUUGCACCUC
rnacentral:rRNA from 1 species